UACACAAACUGUCAAACGUCAGUCAUUCAAACGAAAAAGAUUGUUGUUUUAGUUAGAAUUAAAAAUUGGCACUCUUUGAAAUUAAAACAAAUUUACAUAAUCUUUACAAUUUUUUUCAAGGAUGAUCAAAGCGUUGAUAAUAUUUGGUACUGGAGUUUACACUGGUGUUUAUGUAGCACAAAAUUAUCAGGAUGUUGUUCGACUUAUUUGUAAGAGAACAGUUCAGGAAUGUGACAAAUCAAUGGAUAGAAAAAAAUGAUAGACAAAGUUGAAGAUCCAAAGGCAUUGCUUGAAAAAGCACAAGCUUAUCUGAAGGAUAAAAUGGCAGAAUUCAGUGAAG